AACGAACGCUGGCGGCGCGCCUAAUACAUGCAAGUCGAGCGAGAAGGUGUAGCAAUACACUUGUAAAGCGGCGAACGGGUGAGGAAUACAUGGGUAAUCUACCAUCGAGUGGGGAAUAACCAGCCGAAAGGUUGGCUAAUACCGCGUACGCCUCCGGAUCUUCGGGUUCGGAGGGAAAGCCGCACUGUGAGUGCGGCGCUCUUUGAUGAGCUCAUGUCCUAUCAGCUUGUUGGUAGGGUAACGGCCUACCAAGGCUUUGACGGGUAGCUGGUCUGAGAGGACGAUCAGCCACACUGGCACUGCGACACGGGCCAGACUCCUACGGGAGGCAGCAGUAAGGAAUAUUGCGCAAUGGGCGAAAGCCUGACGCAGCGACGCCGCGUCGGGGGAUGAAGGUCUUCGGGAUUGUAAACCCCUUUCGGGAGGGAAGAUGGAACGAGCAAUCGUUCGGACGGUACCUCCAGAAGCAGCCACGGCCAACUUCGUGCCAGCAGCC
rnacentral:rRNA from 1 species